AGCUUUGCGCAGUGGCAGUAUCGUAGCCAAUGAGGUUUAUCCGAGGCGCGAUUAUUGCUAAUUGAAAACUCAGGUACACUUGACGUGGCCCCCAAAAUAACCCACACCAUCAGAAUCCAGGCAUUUUUUUUUUUUUGGUUUAUUAC
rnacentral:snRNA from 1 species